rnacentral:misc_RNA from 1 species
GAACGCACCUUGCGCCCUUUGGCUAUUCCGAAGGGCAUGCCUGUUUGAGUAUCAUGAACACCUCAACUCUCAUGGCUUGCCAUGAUGAGCUUGGACUUUGGGGGUCUUGUCGGCCUGCGGUCGGCUCCUCUCAAAUGUAUCAGCUUGCCAGUGUUUGGUGGCGUCACAGGUGUGAUAACUAUCUGCGCUUGUGGUUUCCCAUCAGAUAACCUUCAGCGAUGGAGGUUCGCUGGGGCUCAUAAAUGUCUCUCCUAAGUGAGGACAGCCCUUUGAACGUUUGAUCUCAAAUCAGGUAGGACUACCCGCUGAACUUA